AAGAAGUCAGGCCAGAUUAAGCCAUAGUACGGUAAGAGCUAUGCUGCCUGUGAGCCCCGUCCAAGGACGUAAAAUGAAGUCAGGCCGAAAGCCACGGCUUGAGCAAACCGUGCUGCCUGUAGCUCCAUCGUGGGGAUGUAAAAACCUGGGAGGCUGCAACCCAUGGAAGCUGUACGCAUGGGGUAGCA
rnacentral:lncRNA from 1 species